UACGAAGGGGGCUAGCGUUGUUCGGAAUUACUGGGCGUAAAGCGUGCGCAGGCGGUUCGUUGUGUCGGCGGUGAAAGCCCCGGGCUUAACCUGGGAAUGGCCGUCGAAACUGGCGAACUGGAGUGUGGCAGAGGGGGGUGGAAUUCCUGGUGUAGCGGUGAAAUGCGUAGAUAUCAGGAGGAACACCUGUGGCGAAGGCAAUCCCCUGGACCUGUACUGACGCUCAUGCACGAAAGCGUGGGGAGCAAACAGG
rnacentral:rRNA from 1 species